UAGAGUGAUACUAGUAAAUGAGCUGCUCUCCUGAAAGGCAAAAGGAAUGAAGAAUCGCUCUACAAAGCACAGAGAGGAGAUGAAGCAGCAGAGGAGCUGGUGCUUGUUCCUCAACCAUAAGCUCCUCCCGGUACUGAUGUCCGUGGUCGUCCUUGCUGUGAUGCUCAUCGGCUUCCUCACAGUACCAGUGAACAUGGGUGGGCGAGUGGAUGUCAUGCCACCUCCGGCGCCAACCUCCAGCGGGAGUCCUCAUUCAGCUUCCAUCCUUCCAGACAAUGACUAGUUCAAGCGCAGCAGAGUACAUGGGUAAGCGAGAGCAAGGGGAGCAACCACCGGCUCCAGUCUCCGGUAAUAGCCAUCACCAAUCUUCCAUUUCUCAGGAUCACGGCAUGCAACCCCUGUCACCAGAUAGAAACUAGUCCAACGGGCAUUGUUUGUUGUGUUGUUCAAGAGGAGUUAUCUUCUCCCAAAAUUGGCAAGUCAGUAAAGAAAUUCGGUGUAGCCCAAAAGUUAUCUUCUCCAACAAUAUGAGUUCAGAUUGGAGAGUGCUUCCCAAUUCCCGUUCUUAUGCGAAAUCCCUCUAGUGUUUGUUCCACUUACAGAUGGAUAACCACAGUGAAUCCUCUCUUUGUACUU